UACAGCUUGUUGUAUUAUUGCAUGUCUCGGUUUGGUUGAGGCGGAGAGUGGUCUCAGCUGUAG
rnacentral:tRNA from 1 species